rnacentral:miRNA from 1 species
UUUAUAGGUCGAAUUUUGGUCGCGUCCAAUGCAAUUGAAACAAUAGAUGAAGCUUAAUGAGGUUUGUCAUCUCAUUAUCUAUUGUCUUAAUUGCAUUCGAUGCGACCAACAUUCGACGUAUAAA